AUAGUCACGUCGUAAUUGUCAUCUCAAGUAUGCUUACCCCGUCAAUCAUGAGGGGGAGCUGCAAGGCAACUUAGGGGUCGUUGGGUUUAGCGAGUGAUAAUGCGUUGGGAGUGGUUUUAAUCUCCCGGUCAAAAGCAUUCAGCCAAAUUUAUGCUUCGAACCUUUUGUACUCUACUAAAAUAAGGCUUCGUAAAAUAUGGUGUGGACGGGUGGAUGGGCCAAUUCUUUAUUUGGGCCUUCCAACUGAGACCAGCCCGACUAUUUGUACGCGACUUGGGUUAAGUAUUCUAUCAAACCUCGUCCUCGCAUGUAUAAACUACCUUCAGUUUGUGACAAAAUAGAACUCUUGUCGUGCAAGUCAACAGAAUGGAAGGUUUAAGGGAAUCAGAGAAGAAGGAGGAUGCAAAUCACCCCACUGCAGAAGACUCUUCCGCCGAUGGUAUACGGUAUGGAAAAUUUUUUUCCGCAACACCCCUUUGCAUCGUUGGUUCAUUGUCGGGUUAAAAUCUAAGAUAUGUUUGUUUCAGUGACCUUCCAAAACUGACGGUAGAAGACUUAAUACAAGGUGAAGAUCCGUUGGUUGUUGUUUUCAACAAACUUUGCCGGCAUCUCAUGGAAAAUGUUAGCACCACACGAGCACUGCAGGCUUUCCAAGCCCGUACAUUGAAAACGCUUUUCGACUGCAUCAUGAGCCACGGAAAGAUACUAGAGAUUUUAUGGGAAGAAUAUGCGGACCAGCGCAGGAAGCAUUAUCCCCAAGCUGGGGUUGAACCGUGUGAGGCAGACUGGCCUGGAAAGAAGGAGGCUGUCGUCGCGAUCAAAGGUAUGACUACAAGGUCCCAG